AUUUAGUGGACGCAGAGUUUGCAUGAAGUUAUGUUUAAUUUCUGAAGAGCUACUCGAAUCCAGUAGAGAGCUAGAGGACACUCUUCCUUAUAGGAAACAGAUUAUCUUCUGAAACAAGCCAGUAUCCCGAGCCGACCUGAGCAUCAUCAUUCACCCUAAGUGGCCCAAGGUGGACAGCUAACAUGCCUCCUGACUCUGGAGAAGUCACAUCAGGGAGUGAAAUGACUGGAUGCCAGCAAGAGCUCAACCCAUACAGUCCCACUGAAGAGGGUUAAGAAAGAAGAAAAGGGAUGAUUGUGCUCAGAGAGAAAAUCAUUUAAGAACAACUGUUAUGGAGGCUGUACACAACAGUUCGAAGUUGGAUGAAGUCAGGGGCUUGUGCCAUCCAGAAUGGACAGAGAGGAUCCCACCAAAAAAGAGCCAGUCCGUGGUUCUGUCAAGGUCAAUGCCCAGCAACUCGGACUACAGGAGCUUUCUGCAGGAGGGACUUCAGAAUCCCACCCCACCGCCUGAAAAUUCGGAGGAGUAUUUGAUGAGUUCAGCAACAUGUACUCCCAAACCAAAGAGGAAGAGAGGAACUAUUGCGCUGUAUGUGAAGGAACUCUCUAGGCUGCGGUGAUCCUAAACCCCUGCAAUAGAAGAAUCCCUGGCGAUGCUUAUUGAAACUCCGGAUUCCUAGGACCUGCCCGAUUCCUUCUGAAUGGUAAGCUCUGAGGUGGGGACCCAGACUCUAUUUUACCAGGCUCCCCAGCACGGAUGGUACUAGGCGGAGGCUAAUGAGGUGCUUAUGACAUGACCCUGAACUCGUACAAACAACCCAGAGGGUGAGCAUGGCCCCUGUGUUGCGCCCCAUGCCCCUCACUUCCCGGACCCUAGGCCCGGCCCUACUUCCAAGACUUUGGAAUUCUGAGGCACAUUGGUGACACGUUGAACUGUGUCACUUCCAAAAUUCCUGUGUCGGAGUCCUGAUCUCUCAUACCUCAGAACAUGACUGUAUUUCAAGACAGAGCCUUUAAAGGGGUAAUUGAGGUUCAAUGAGGUCAUUAAUCCAACAUGACUGGCCUCCUUAUAAGAGGAGAUUGGGGGACGCCUGGGUGGCUCGGCGGUUGAGCGUCUGCCUUUGGCUCAGGUCAUGAUCCUGGGGCCCAGGAUCGAGUCCCACAUUGGGCUCCCUGCAUGGAGCCUGCUUCUCCCUCUGCCUGUGUCUCUGCCUCUCUCUCUCUCUCUCUCUCUCUCUCUGUCUCUUAUGAAUAAAUAAAUAAAAUCUUUAAUUAAAAAAAAAAGAAGAAGAAAUUCGGAUGCAGACAUGGAGGGAAGACCAGGUGAAGACAAAGAAAGAGGACCACAUCUACAAGGCCAGGGGAGGCCUCAGACUGAAAGCAGCCCUGCUGACACCUUGAUCUCACAGCUUCCAGAACCGUGAGAAAGUAGAAAGUUGCUUAACUCAACCAAGUGUAUGGUAUUCGUCAGGGCAGCUCCUGCAAACUGACACACAGAGGACAUUCGAGAACCACUGGCGAGGCAGUUAAGGGCAUCUGGGCUCUGGCAUCACAAUGCCCCCAUGUGGCUGCAUUCGGGAUGAGGUGAAAUAAUACCCAGUACAGUGUCACAGGAAAAUAGGAAGCACUCGGCAAACGUUAGCUACAAUUACUGUUGUUAAUAAAAUAUAUGAGCUUUAACCAUAUUCUGCGCCAUCUCCUUACAUAGCCAAAGUAUUCAAUCUCACAAAUAUGUACUGAAUGCCAACUUUAUAAGCAAGGCGCCGGGCCAGGCCUCUUGCGGAGUGCAAAGAUGAGAAAUAAGCAGUGCUCAUCCUCAGAAUAUUACGCAGAGCAAAUCCACCCAGAACAAAAUUUGCAAAAUUAUGACACUGACAUCUUCCAUAUUCACCUGCGCCCCAAGGUGCUCAACCUUUUGAUUCCUACAGUGUGUCCCUUCCUUCCCUCAUCCCCAUCUUUUCCAUGUUUAACUAUCUUUUUUUUUUAAGAUUUUAUUUAUUUAUUCUUGAGGGACACAGAGAGAGAGAGAGAG
rnacentral:lncRNA from 1 species